AGAGAGAGCCUGGGAGGAGCCCUGAUGGAGAAGCAGGAACAACACUGCUGUGAGAAAACCACCCAAGAGAACAGGCACUGCACUAAAACAGAAGCUGCGCUGAAACCACCUGCUGGAAGUAACACCAGAAGAUCCUCCUGUGCCAACCCAUGAACACUUCAUAGGAAUUGCUUGGCGUGAUGGACAGACUUGCAGCUGUGACCCUCCCACCCAGACUCACUGGAGGUGAAAUGAGGAUACUGUCCAAAAGAGAGAUACUGACAACAUGAGGAUACUAUCCAGAAUGGGGAUACUGACCUGCUGCUCACUGGCACUCAGUGACUUUAUAAAAUUUCACAGAGGAAGAGCAAACAUAUCCAUGUCAAUAGGCAAUUCACAGAUUAUCAGAAUGCAAACUGCCCCAGCUGACUUCAGUUAGCACCUGAGGCAAGCACUGAAACCUGUUGCUUCCCAGGGAGAAGUAUUGAUCCACUUCAGCUGGUGACCUGUCAUUUGAUUUGUGCUGAUUCCUGACUGAGAGCUCAGGCCCUCUGCCUUCACUUGGGCCAAAGAACACCGUGCUCUGUACAUUUCUCCAUGAUCCCCUAUGCUUGCCUUUGGAAAAGGCCCAGGGAGCAGAGCAGGAUGCUCUGAAAGUGUAAUGGACUUGUGCAGAGACUUCUGAGCAUGGAUCUGUGUUUCCCUGCCACUGGUCCCUCUCAGCACAGGGCAGAGCAGUCCCUCCUCCCCUGCCUGCUGGAACUCUGGCCAGGCUGGCAUGGAGAACGCUGUGUUCAUCUGCAGCCAGGCUGCCAGCCUCCAUUUCUGUUGCCAUGGAUACAAGAAUGAAGCAAUAGCUUCACUCAGGAUUAGCUAUUUUUAUUGUAAUUACACAACAGGAAAUUAUUUGACUAUUUUUCCCUUCAUCUCACCCAUAGUUUAUUUAUGCUAUGAUGCUUCAAGUGCCUGUACUGAGCCCCCAGGCACUGGCUUGCUGUUGGUGGGGGCUGCUCCCUGCUGUGGGUAUGGGUGCUGACAGUGCUGGCCAGGAGCUCACAGUCAGGAAUUAAAGUUGAUGCAUUUUUUGCCGUGGAAUGAAGUUCAGUUGUGUAGCUGUUGGGUGCAGCAGUUUGUGUCCAUCUGUUUCUGCAGCACAGGAUCACUGGCAGAUCUGUGUGAGGACACGUUCAGGAAACACAGUGGAAGGAAGAACCUCCAGUUAGCAUUAGGAAGUGUGACUUUGCCAGCAUUGAUGGACAGGGCAGUGAACACACUGAAUGAUAACCAAAUGCUGAUGAGAUGCUCCAGGAGGGAAGCAGAGGAGCAUGCAGGCAUCCCAAGGCCAGAGCUGUACUAUCCAGCCCAGAUGGGGAAAAACAUGUCAAAGAAAUGAAGCCCAGACUCUCCAAGCCUCUUGAUCUGUCCUGAGGAAUCCAGUCAUGGGGUGAUCCAUGUCAUCCUGCAUCAAAUGGAAGAGGAAAGAGUUUUACCACACAGACCACAGCAGGUGCCAUCUCACAGCUUGUGUCUCCUGCAGUCCAGGCAGCUCUGUCCUCACUCCAUAUCUACACUGAAAUUCAUAAACAGAAAAGCUCUUUAAGUAGGACUUUAUAAAGAAAAAAUGGGAAAUCCCCCUCACUGGACAUGAAGAAGUUUUGUCAUUGCACCUACUGCUGCUACAGUUCAGAAGUGGUGAGUUUUUCACUUUCUGCAACACUAAUUCUUUUGACCAUCUUUUGGCCAUUAGCUAGAUAGAUCUAACAGAGAGGGGUUGCUGAGCCAGGGUUUGAGAGCCAUGGAUUAAACUCCCGAGUUUGCCCUGGGGCUGUGCCUCCCUCAGUUUCUGCUCUUUGCACCAAGCCACACUUGGCCGCAUAAUGGGGACCUGUCUGGAGGCCCCAAAAUUUUUUUGUUCCUUUCACCUCUGUGGUGCAUUUGAUCAUGUCUCCCCUGAACCAGAAGACUGCAUGCUCAGGAGAUAAGGUGGAUGCUUUCCCUGAUCAAUAACAAAAAUUAUUUUUAAAAUUGCCCCCAGGAGACUGUAAUAAAAGGACAUUGGAACCAAUGAGAACUUUGGAGAAUGGGGUGCUUUAUUUCAUGCUUUUUACUCGUGAAACCUCUGGUCUCAAUGUAAUUUUUGUAAUUUUUCAACAGAUCCUUCUUUUGAAUGAGAGUCCUGCUCUAGCACUGUUGCUAACCCAUAGGAAAAAUUUUGAAGAAUUUGUAAUUGCUCACUAGUUUUAUAGAGAAAUGACACUAAAAUUAUGAAAGGUGUUGCAUUAAAAAUAUUUGAUAUUGAUAUGUGGAGGAACCAAUGAAAGAAAUAGGAAGGUAACUUAAGAAAUAACAGAGGCAAACUGCUAAAUUUAUUAUUCCCUUUACUCACUGAGAUGUGUGAACCACAUCAGGUUACGGGAAACUCAGAAUACAGUCUGUUACCUCUGAUGGUUUUUGUUGGCAUUAACUAGAUCUGUCUUAAAUCUUAAAUUUCAUUAUUUAAUAUUAGAAACUGAUCCUGUAUUUGGCCAUGUGGAUAAGUGUAACCUGUUUUCCUGGUUUGAUGAAGACCAGUUAACUAAGAAGAACAGAGAGGGAGAUCCAGCUACAUUUUGGUGAUAAAAUGUAGGCACCUUAUGUUUGGCAUUUAGCUUUCAUUUGAUCAGAACUGUUUCACAGGAUGUGCUGUCUUUCUCUACUGAGGCACAUGCCAGCAUUCACUUUACUUCCAUUAACAUAUCACUCUCACUCAGAGCUGGUGUUCAGUUCUCUCUGCAUCCUGUCAACCUGACAGUCAUUAAUCCCUUCACAGGAGCACACUUCUGUCCCACUUAGUGUGCCACAUAUUUUUGCCUGCAUCCCUUGAGACCCUAGUGGGAUGCAUCCUUGCUUUCCAUCUGCUUGCUGAAAUCUGCAGGACCACAGUCCAUUUGAAGCCCUCCACAAGAUCAAACACUGGGCAGAGUCUUACCUUCAGGAAAAAACAGACUUUUCAUGGCAUUAGCAGUAGGCUUAAGAAGCCAAAAUAAGAGGUUAUGAGAAGCCAAGCUUGACAGUGCCCUUAAUCCAAUUAAAGCUAUGUCUGAAAAAUUGUUCUCAUUCUGGCCUAAAUGAUUGAGCAGUGUUCAGAGUCUUGUGCUAGGACAGUCAAGAAGUAUAUUGUGAUUAGGAUGUGACAGAAAGAUCUUAGACAAUGAUCAGACAAGGCCUCAAUCGAUUAAGAUUUAAUUAUCUCCAAGACCAGAAUUCUUCAUUUUCAAAAGACCAGUCCUGUGAUUUAAGUUUGUUAUCACUUUGUAGCAGUGGAUGUUAGUUGAGUGAUAUGAAGACUUUAAUUAGAGCCGAAGCUUUUACAUGAAGAUAUUAAAGAAGCA